rnacentral:rRNA from 1 species
AGAUUGAACGCUGGCGGCAGGCCUAACACAUGCAAGUCGAGCGGUAGAGAGGUGCUUGCACCUCUUGAGAGCGGCGGACGGGUGAGUAAUGCCUAGGAAUCUGCCUAGUGGUGGGGGAUAACGUUCGGAAACGGACGCUAAUACCGCAUACGUCCUACGGGAGAAAGCGGGGGACCUUCGGGCCUCGCGCCAUUAGAUGAGCCUAGGUCGGAUUAGCUAGUUGGUGAGGUAAUGGCUCACCAAGGCGACGAUCCGUAACUGGUCUGAGUAGGAUGAUCAGUCACACUGGAACUGAGACACGGUCCAGACUCCUACGGGAGCAGCAGUGGGGAAUAG